UACGUAGGGCGCAAGCGUUGUCCGGAAUUAUUGGGCGUAAAGAGCUCGUAGGCGGCUUGUCACGUCGGAUGUGAAAGCCCGAGGCUUAACCUCGGGUCUGCAUUCGAUACGGGCUAGCUAGAGUGCGGUAGGGGAGAUCGGAAUUCCUGGUGUAGCGGUGAAAUGCGCAGAUAUCAGGAGGAACACCGGUGGCGAAGGCGGAUCUCUGGGCCAUUACUGACGCUGAGGAGCGAAAGCGUGGGGAGCGAACAGG
rnacentral:rRNA from 1 species